ACCCGUGUAGCUCAGAUGGCAAGAGCGAUUGACUUUUAAUCAUUUGUCGCGGGUUCGAGUCCUGCCACGGGUA
rnacentral:tRNA from 2 species